AGGAAGAAGAAAUUUGGCAAAUUCAGGGAGCCUUAACUUGUGGAGUUCAAAGGUCUUAGAAGCAGUGGGUGCUGUGGAUUGCUUGCUCAAGCUCCAUUCUGCUUUCCUUCUAGUUGGAGACACUGGAAAUCUAAAAUUGACAUAUGCCAGAUUCCUUUGCAGCUAGGAUUCUGAAUGAGAAUUAGGUUCUGAUAAUUGUGUACUCCUAGGCUUUGGAUCUGGAAGGCAGAAGUGAAGUAGAAGCCAUCUUUCUUCCUUUUUUCUUUUUCAGUGAGAUUGUCCUGCAGCAGCAUUGCAGUAUGCCUUCUUCAGCUUCCUGGGUAUUGAGACAUAGUUGCAGAGGCAGAAGCAGGUGUGGUGGCUUCCUGAUUGUGGCCUGUUGAUCUCUGGAUCACAGCUAUGGGAGAGAGUCUUGAAGCCAUAGCUUCAAUAGAAGCCUCAGAGUAAACAGCUCACCCACUGGGACAAUCUGUUGUUCUGGGAGUCAUUGCUGUAAGGGUCAUCCACAACUUGUCUUUCAGCCCUUCCAAAGACUUUGUAAGCACCCAAUUCCCUGUAUUAAAUAUCUUUCUGCUUAGUAUACCUGAAAUAAUUUUGCUUCCUGUACUGUACUCUGAUAGAAACAAGCAGUGUUUAAUUUUUUUUCGGCCUUUACAAAUGAAAUGCUUGUUGAAAUUCACCUUCCCUUCCCCACACACAAUCACCAGUGCCACUCACAUCUUCCCUGUGAUCCCCAUGUCCUGUUCUUUCAAUUCGCUUACUCUUUCUUGCCAGUGGUCCCCAUAUUGCCAGGUAUCAGCAGUCAGGAAGGGACCUAGAUUUGAGAGUGGCCAGCUGGAGAGAAGAUGCUAGGUUGCCCCACACUUGAUUGCCUCUAGGUUCGGAUACAGAUGCAACUAUCUUGGAACUAUGCUAAAUUCUCCCUCCCCAUAACAUCUGUUAUCACAAGAAUCCUAACAUGUAGAGCUUUUAUCCCUAUUCAAGACGGGGCACCCAAAGCUCAGAGACUUUAAAUACCUUGUCCAAUGUCACAUGGUGCUUAAGUGGCAGAUCCAAGUUUGGACACCAGUGUUAUCUGAUUAUUGAGUGAGCUUUUGAAAAUGCACAAAUGGGCUGGGCACAGUGGCUCAUGCCUGUAAUCCUAGCACUUUGGGAGGUUGAGGUGGGUGGAUCACCUGAGGUCAGGAGUUUGAGACCAGCCUGACUAGCAUGGUGAAAUCCUAUCUCUACUAAAAAUACAAAUAUUAGCUAGGAAUCGUGGCAUGUGGCUGUAGUCCCAGAUACUCGGGAGGCUGAGACAGGAGAAUUGCUUGAACCUGGGAGGCAGAGGUUGCAGUGAGCCGAGAUUGCACCAUUGCACUCCAGCCUGGGCGACAGAGUGAGAUUCUGUCUCAAAAAAAAAAAAAAAA
rnacentral:lncRNA from 1 species